rnacentral:lncRNA from 1 species
GGCAAUAUUAUUAAGGGAAUGUAAAAUUACUAUACUUUCAAAUGGCACUAAGCGUGAAUUUUUAUAAUAGAAGAUGAUGAAUGAUUAGUGAUUACCAUUAGAUGAAAAAACACGUAACAUAAUCCUAAUGGCUGAGGCAUCUUCUGCUAGAUGAUUAUCACUAAUAGCUAAACCCUCCCAAAAGGAAGCCUUCUUCAUCUUCUACGUAAG